rnacentral:rRNA from 1 species
GAGGUUAAGCGACUAAGCGUACACGGUGGAUGCCCUGGCAGUCAGAGGCGAUGAAGGGCGUGCUAAUCUGCGAUAAGCGCCGGUAAGGUGAUAUGAACCGUUAUAACCGGCGAUACCCGAAUGGGGAAACCCAGUGUGAUUCGUCACACUAUCAUUAACUGAAUCCAUAGGUUAAUGAGGCGAACCGGGGGAACUGAAACAUCUAAGUACCCCGAGGAAAAGAAAUCAACCGAGAUUCCCCCAGUAGCGGCGAGCGAACGGGGAGGAGCCCAGAGCCUGAAUCAGCAUGUGUGUUAGUGGAAGCGUCUGGAAAGGCGCGCGAUACAGGGUGACAGCCCCGUACACAAAAGCGCAUGUGCUGUGAGCUCGAUGAGUAGGGCGGGACACGUGGUAUCCUGUCUGAAUAUGGGGGGACCAUCCUCCAAGGCUAAAUACUCCUGACUGACCGAUAGUGAACCAGUACCGUGAGGGAAAGGCGAAAAGAACCCCGGCGAGGGGAGUGAAAAAGAACCUGAAACCGUGUACGUACAAGCAGUGGGAGCACCCUUCGGGGUGUGACUGCGUACC